ACGAAGCUGGAUUCGCUAGUAAUCGCGCAUCAGCCACGGCGCGGUGAAUACGUUCCCGGGCCUUGUACACACCGCCCGUCAAGCCAUGGGAGCCGGGGGUACCUGAAGUGCGUAACCGCGAGGAUCGCCCUAGGGUAAAACUGGUGACUGGGGCUAAGUCGUAACAAGGUACC
rnacentral:rRNA from 1 species